AAAUGUGUUUGUGCUGGACUAUUUGUUCACUAAAAAAGGCAGUAGUGGCUCUACUGCUUUUUAACUGUCAAGGACCUCCUCCACCAAGGGCUACUGUGAAAGCACAGUGUUUCCCUUUCUGGUGCUGGACUUGCUGUGAACAUGCACAAUCCAUCUGUCCCCAUUUGCAGAAGCUGCUCCUGCCUGACGCUAAGCUGAAAAACUAUGCCAGAGGACAGUAGCAACCCCAGGUUAAGGCCUGGUCAGAGGAUACUUCCAGAAGCAGCCCUCACAUUACUUUGUCAACUAUUCCAAACCCUGCAUAUAAUUGUGCCUCACUCAGCUGUCUCAUUCCCUGACCCAAGAGACAAGUAAUGCACUUACCUGGUGAGGACUCAAGCAGGCUGGAAGAUGAUACUGCCUCUGAUGGAAGCUUUGGUGCUGGCACAUGCUGCACGCUGAUGAUUUCUACCAUCAUCCAUGCCUGGCAGACGAAGAAAGGAAAGGUGUUACUCAGGUGACCAAAUUAAGGAUGUAUGGAAAAGGAUGAGGAUACUUAAUUACUUAGGGAGGAAAAAGAAAUUAAACAGAGAGAACAUCUCCAGGACUUAAGAAAAGUCUCUUCUUAAUAUAAUCAGCAUUGUGAAUUAAGUAUCUCUGUAACAGUAUAGCACUACAAGUUUUUGUAUGCUUACUUUAAAUGACAAUAAAAUUCUCUUAGCAUGAUAGAAUUUUCAUAUAAACAAUAUCCAGGAAUCUCUUUGGAGGCAAAGGAGCCAAAUAAUGCUAUGACAAUUAAAAUCUUAGCCAUGAAUAACAACUUAAUUUUUAUUUCUAUAUUUAUUUUAGCAAAUAUUUUACCUUGCUGCAGUGUAGCUGUUUCCUGAUGUAUAAUAACUGUGCACUAUUCUGCUAUAUUGUUAAAAAGGUCCCAAGAGGUUUUACAGUAACAGUAAGAAAGAAAACAGCUCAUUUGGCAGAAAAUGAAGGCAACAUAGCUUGCACAAGGUAUUUUAAAUUGACUUACCUAGAUGUCUGUCUGCUGAUUCUUGAUGAAUUCUCAGCAUUAGAAAGAAUAAAACUCUUUCAUGAAGUAAAAGUUCUGACAGGUAUUGACAGUUGUCAGACUGAGAAGCACACACAGACUAGUAUUUCUCAUAUAUAUGUUAAUUUAACAUAUUUAAUGUACGGAUAUAAAAAUACAGUAUCUAGACAGGAAAUAUAACUCUUGCUGUAUCUAGAGUUUUCUGUGAUUCUGUAUAGAUUCAAGCAGGACAUCUACAGCUGCUCAAAGAAUAUUUGGAACUGCUGGAAUAUAGAGUCUGUAGAGUCACAGACCUUAUAUCAGGCCAAUUCUGAGCUUUUUAGGAUCUCAGUCAGCUGCUAUUCAACUGCUGGCAAAUUGGAAAUCACAGACAAACAACCAAUGAGGUCUGAUAAAAUUACUGAACAAGAAAGUAAAAUUACUGAGGGAAGGGCAGAAAGGGUUGUGUAUUAGCCACAGCGUGGUGUGUCACUCACUUCUGACAGCAGGCCUUGUGAUCGGUGCACCCCUGGACGUUCGCUGUAACUGCUGAUCUUUCCUUAAUAUCUGCCUCAGGCUGUCCAGAGACACCAGUCAUGCAAAUCUGAGAAGAGAGAAUUUAAAUACAUAUAUAAUCAAAUGCAACAAAAAAUAAAUGCACCCUUUGAAAACACUAACUGUAUAUAACAAUCUGCUAUAUAAAUAUGAUACUCCGCAUGUUUCAACUGGUAUCAACAAUCAUAUAAUAGCACUACAUUUCUGCCUCCUUAGGCUAAAAUUAACUAAGAAAUCCCUUAAUGCUGAAUGUGGUCAGCUUUACAGCAAAGGAGGUGACACAAAUCUCAGAUAACCCAGCAGAUGAAUUAAAGUAUAUUCCAUGAUCAGUCUGUUUGCUUUAGCAUCAGGGGUUUUGUUGUUCUUGUUUCUCUUUUUCUUGUUGUUUUUUAAUGAGUUUGGGAUUAUUAUUUUUUCCUAAAAAAGAGAAAUUCGUAAAACAUAAAUGAGCAAAGCUGGAACUGAGCAAAAGAAAAAGGGGGGAAAGUGGAACGCGGACUUUUAUUUCAUAGACUUGUGUCUAAUACCAAAUAAGUGGCAACACCAACGUGAUGAAACGUUAACACAAGAAAAUGAAGCCAGGAGGUUCUACGUGUUCAUAACUUCAUUCCCAGCAAUGAAAACAAUGACACCAGAUCAGGUGCCUUGUUUCUAAGAGGAAUUUUGUUGCCUUUUGAGUGGGUAUUGACAGUGGUUCAACUGUUAGUUUCCAUUUUGCUCUUUUUAAAUAGGAAUAAUGAUACUGACAUUCUCUGCUAAGUACUGUGAGCCCUACAAAAAGCACUGUCAAAGGGCUCGCAGAUCUUAUAGUUCAGUAAUUCUGUUCCAGCACUAUUUACAGAUCACCAUUGCGGAGCACCCUAGAUAGGCAAGAUGAACAUCAAUGGUUACAGUCAAGAACUUGAGACUAAUUUCCUUAGUGAUUGCUUAGGAGGAAACAGUCACAAUAGUUUGAAACAUCACCAACAUUUAAAAAAGCAUUCAGAAAAAGCCUUCAUUCCUAUUUUCAGUUCUGUAACUCGAGUGGAAAUUCAGCAUUCAUCAGCUGUGGAAGAAACAGGGUCAUGUAUUGUCACUAUUUGCGCCUGUGUUGAAAGCAAAGAAUCAGAAGAUUUUUUUUCACAGCUAAGUACAUUGUUUGAUGAAAGAAAGCAGCUUUCACCACACAGGGUGCAUAAAGCAAAGAAAAACAGUCUCCAAAUGAUGAACGAAAGUUUUACAAUAGUACUACAUCCUUAUACUAUAGAAAUCCAGAAAUUUCCUGAGAGUAAAAGCCUUUCUGCUGCCCUACCGAUUUCUUUUCUAUAAUUCUGCAUACAGUUUUGCAUUUUCAGAGUUUAACUUCUUUGCUGGAUAUAAAGUUCCUUCAGGUUGCUGUAGCCUUAUUAAAAUAUAAAAUUCAAUGGAAAAAAAAUACAAAUUGUAAAAACUCCCUCUUUUUCUUUUUUUUCCUUUCUGUUUAUUUUUCCCCUCAACAUAAAUGGAUAUAAAGGACUUGACCAGGUAACCCUGACCAAGCCUGUUACCACAUUACAAUAUUUCAAACCAGUACUAAAAUUUGCAACAAAUCCUUGUCUACAAUCUGCUAAUGAGUGCCUAUAUAUACACAAGAAGGUAAACAGUUGUUUUAACAGGGCAUGUUCUUUGGAAUGUGAAUUGGAUUAAUUACAGUCAGUUUUUAUAGAAAACUGCAUUAUUGAUUAGGGAAGAGUGAACAAAGGUAAGAGAGAAUAAUCCAUGAAAAAUGGACAGAAAGAGACAAGGUUUCCAGCUGAUAUGAAGAAAAGCUGGAAUGUAAUCUUCUAGAAACUGGAUAGGGACUGAAAGCUUGAGUGAGGGAGUGUGUGUGUGUCAAUUGCCUAAUACUUCAUCAUUCUCAGCAUCGAUGUGGUUGUUGCAGUAAUGAACUAAAACUUAAGUCACAUAGCAUGGUAGCCACUGCCUAUAGCUGGCUCAUUAGUUCCAGUACCUCCAGCAGAGCUGAGCAAGACCAUGACAAGUAAAGUCAAGUCUUACCACCAUGUGCCACAUGAAGUAUGAAAUUCAGGGCCAUGGUAAUCUGGGACAAAGCAUUUUGUCCAUUGUGAUUCAAGUACAGUUAGUACACAAUUAAGUUGGAAGGAAGAAAAAGAAUUUUUUGCACAUAAACUGUGUUAGUAAGUGUUAGAGAGUUUGUGCAGCCAACAUACUCCAUAGAUUGAAGAAGGAAGUAGGAACAUCCAACAGAGUCUGUACUCCAUGUUGCAAGGGUCUUUAAACUUACUGUCACAAUCCAAUUAUCUAAUAUCCACAUAGUUAGGAACCUUGUUGUUGAAAAGACAAAAAAAAAAAAAAAAUUCACAGAUAACAGUAAUCCUCAGCCAACUCUGAGAGCUGAAGUUAUUAUCACCAUUCUCAGAAUCAAACACUGACAUAUUUAUUGUUAGAUCCUCCAUAAACUCCAAAAAAAUGAGGGAGUCAUUUCAAAAUAUGUUAUUUAUACUCUGUUGUAAAUACUGCACCACUAGAAUCUCAAAUAAAUACUUGGCCAUGGUCAACAGUAGUUCUGUGCACGCAGUCAUCACAAGGAUAACUGUGGCACUGGGUCAUUGCUUGCAGAAUAAGACACUAGGGUUCAUGUUCCUUCUGAUAAUUAUCUCAUCUAAAUCUCAGUAUAUGUAGAAAUUGUUGCUAGGCUACUUAAAUCUCAU
rnacentral:lncRNA from 1 species